AGUGAACGCUGGCGGGAGGCAGAACACAUGUAAGUCGAACGGCAGCACAGUAAGAGCUUGUGCUUAAGGGUGGGGAGUGGUGGAUGGGUGAGGAAUAUAUGGGAAUUUACUUUUUAGUGGGGGAUAAAGUAGGGAAACUUACGCUAAUACCGCAUACGACCUACGGGUGAAAGCAGGGGAUCUUCGGACCUUGCGCGAUUGAAUGAGCCGAUGUCGGAUUAGCUAGUUGGCGGGGUAAAGGCCCACCAAGGGGAAGGGUCGUAGCUGGUCUGAGAGGAUGAUCAGCCACACUGGAACUGAGACACGGUCCAGACUCCUACGGGAGGAAGCAGUGGGGAAUAUUGGACAAUGGGCGCAAGCCUGAUCCAGCCAUACCGCGUGGGUGAAGAAGGACUUCGGGUUGUAAAGCCCUUUUAUUUAGAAAGAAAAGAAGCAGGUUAAUACCCCGCUGUUCUGACGGUACCCAAAGAAUAAGCACCGGCUCCCUUCGUU
rnacentral:rRNA from 1 species